rnacentral:rRNA from 1 species
AAGCUUGCUUCUCUGAUGUUAGCGGCGGACGGGUGAGUAACACGUGGAUAACCUACCUAUAAGACUGGGAUAACUUCGGGAAACCGGAGCUAAUACCGGAUAAUAUUUUGAACCGCAUGGUUCAAAAGUGAAAGACGGUCUUGCUGUCACUUAUAGAUGGAUCCGCGCUGCAUUAGCUAGUUGGUAAGGUAACGGCUUACCAAGGCAACGAUGCAUAGCCGACCUGAGAGGGUGAUCGGCCACACUGGAACUGAGACACGGUCCAGACUCCUACGGGAGGCAGCAGUAGGGAAUCUUCCGCAAUGGGCGAAAGCCUGACGGAGCAACGCCGCGUGAGUGAUGAAGGUCUUCGGAUCGUAAAACUCUGUUAUUAGGGAAGAACAUAUGUGUAAGUAACUGUGCACAUCUUGACGGUACCUAAUCAGAAAGCCACGGCUAACUACGUGCCAGCAGCCGCGGUAAUACGUAGGUGGCAAGCGUUAUCCGGAAUUAUUGGGCGUAAAGCGCGCGUAGGCGGUUUUUUAAGUCUGAUGUGAAAGCCCACGGCUCAACCGUGGAGGGUCAUUGGAAACUGGAAAACUUGAGUGCAGAAGAGGAAAGUGGAAUUCCAUGUGUAGCGGUGAAAUGCGCAGAGAUAUGGAGGAACACCAGUGGCGAAGGCGACUUUCUGGUCUGUAACUGACGCUGAUGUGCGAAAGCGUGGGGAUCAAACAGGAUUAGAUACCCUGGUAGUCCACGCCGUAAACGAUGAGUGCUAAGUGUUAGGGGGUUUCCGCCCCUUAGUGCUGCAGCUAACGCAUUAAGCACUCCGCCUGGGGAGUACGACCGCAAGGUUGAAACUCAAAGGAAUUGACGGGGACCCGCACAAGCGGUGGAGCAUGUGGUUUAAUUCGAAGCAACGCGAAGAACCUUACCAAAUCUUGACAUCCUUUGACAACUCUAGAGAUAGAGCUUUCCCCUUCGGGGGACAAAGUGACAGGUGGUGCAUGGUUGUCGUCAGCUCGUGUCGUGAGAUGUUGGGUUAAGUCCCGCAACGAGCGCAACCCUUAAGCUUAGUUGCCAUCAUUAAGUUGGGCACUCUAAGUUGACUGCCGGUGACAAACCGGAGGAAGGUGGGGAUGACGUCAAAUCAUCAUGCCCCUUAUGAUUUGGGCUACACACGUGCUACAAUGGACAAUACAAAGGGCAGCGAAACCGCGAGGUCAAGCAAAUCCCAUAAAGUUGUUCUCAGUUCGGAUUGUAGUCUGCAACUCGACUACAUGAAGCUGGAAUCGCUAGUAAUCGUAGAUCAGCAUGCUACGGUGAAUACGUUCCCGGGUCU